UCAUCGAGCGUGAAAUCGAGUAGGGCGGGACACGUGAUAUCCUGUCUGAAUAUGGGGGGACCAUCCUCCAAGGCUAAAUACUCCUGACUGACCGAUAGUGAACCAGUACCGUGAGGGAAAGGCGAAAAGAACCCCUGUGAGGGGAGUGAAAUAGAACCUGAAACCGUGUACGUACAAGCAGUAGGAGCACCUUCGUGGUGUGACUGCGUACCUUUUGUAUAAUGGGUCAGCGACUUAUAUUCAGUGGCAAGGUUAACCGUAUAGGGGAGCCGUAGCGAAAGCGAGUCUUAACUGGGCGCUCAGUCUCUGGAUAUAGACCCGAAACCGGGUGAUCUAGCCAUGGGCAGGUUGAAGGUUGAGUAACAUCAACUGGAGGACCGAACCGACUAAUGUUGAAAAAUUAGCGGAUGACUUGUGGCUAGGGGUGAAAGGCCAAUCAAACUCGGAGAUAGCUGGUUCUCCCCGAAAGCUAUUUAGGUAGCGCCUCGGACGAAUACUACUGGGGGUAGAGCACUGUUAAGGCUAGGGGGUCAUCCCGACUUACCAACCCUUUGCAAACUCCGAAUAC
rnacentral:rRNA from 1 species